rnacentral:rRNA from 1 species
UACGGAGGAUCCAAGCGUUAUCCGGAAUCAUUGGGUUUAAAGGGUCCGUAGGCGGCCCUGUAAGUCAGUGGUGAAAUCUUUCGGCUCAACCGGAAAAUUGCCAUUGAUACUGCAGGGCUUGAAUUAUCGGGAAGUAACUAGAAUAUGUAGUGUAGCGGUGAAAUGCUUAGAGAUUACAUGGAAUACCGAUUGCGAAGGCAGGUUACUACCGGUGGAUUGACGCUGAUGGACGAAAGCGUGGGGAGCGAACAGG